UACGAAGGGGGCUAGCGUUGCUCGGAAUCACUGGGCGUAGAGCGCACGUAGGCGGACUCUUAAGUCGGUGGUGAAAUCCUGGAGCUCAACUCCAGAACUGCCUUCGAUACUGGGAGUCUUGAGUCCGGGAGAGGUGAGUGGAACUGCGAGUGUAGAGGUGAAAUUCGUAGAUAUUCGCAAGAACACCAGUGGCGAAGGCGGCUCACUGGCCCGGUACUGACGCUGAGGUGCGAAAGCGUGGGGAGCAAACAGG
rnacentral:rRNA from 1 species